rnacentral:rRNA from 1 species
CCUACGGGCGGCAGCAGUGAGGAAUAUUGGUCAAUGGACGAGAGUCUGAACCAGCCAAGUAGCGUGAAGGAUGACUGCCCUAUGGGUUGUAAACUUCUUUUAUAAAGGAAUAAAACGAGGCACGUGUGCCUUUUUGCAUGUACUUUAUGAAUAAGGAUCGGCUAACUCCGUGCCAGCAGCCGCGGUAAUACGGAGGAGCCGAGCGUUAUCCGGAUUUAUUGGGUUUAAAGGGAGCGUAGAUGGGUUGUUAAGUCAGUUGUGAAAGUUUGCGGCUCAACCGUAAAAUUGCAAUUGAUACUGGCAGUCGUGAGUACAGUUGAGGUAGGCGGAAUGCGUGGUGUAGCGGUGAAAUGCUUAGAUAUCACGAAGAACCCCGAUUGCGAAGGCAGCUUACUAAACUGUGACUGACAUUGAUGCUCGAAAGUGUGGGUAUCAAACAGGAUUAGAUACCCCGGUAGUC